CCUACGGGUGGCAGCAGUGGGGAAUAUUGCACAAUGGGGGAAACCCUGAUGCAGCGACGCCGCGUGAGUGAAGAAGUCUUUCGGUAUGUAAAGCUCUAUCAGCAGGGAAGAAAUAGCGACCUUUGGUUCGCCAUACGGUACCUGACUCAGAAGCCCCGGCUAACUACGUGCCAGCAGCCGCGGUAAUACGUAGGGGGCAAGCGUUAUCCGGAUUUACUGGGGGUAAAGGGGGCGUAGACGGCAGCACAAGUCUGAAGUGAAAUGCCGGGGCUUAACCCCGGAACUGCUUUGGAAACUGUGAAGCUAGAGUGCAGGAGAGGUAAGUGGAAUUCCUAGUGUAGCGGUGAAAUGCGUAGAUAUUAGGAGGAACACCAGUGGCGAAGGCGGCUUACUGGACUGUAACUGACGUUGAGGCUCGAAAGCGUGGGUAUUGAACAGGAUUAGAUACCCUGGUAGUC
rnacentral:rRNA from 1 species